CUAACACAUGCAAGUCGAACGGUAACAGUCCCGCUUGCGGGAGCUGACGAGUGGCGCACGGGUGCGUAACGCGUAUGCAAUCUACCUUCAACUGGGGGAUAGCCCGAAGAAAUUCGGAUUAAUACUCCAUAGUAUAAAGAAUUCGCAUGUUUUCUUUAUUAAAACUCCGGUGGUUGAAGAUGAGCAUGCGUCCUAUUAGUUAGUUGGUGAGGUAACGGCUCACCAAGACUCCGAUAGGUAGGGGGUCUGAGAGGAUGACCCCCCACACUGGUACUGAGACACGGACCAGACUCCUACGGGAGGCAGCAGUGAGGAAUAUUGGACAAUGGACGAAAGUCUGAUCCAGCCAUGCCGCGUGCAGGAAGACUGCCCUCUGGGUUGUAAACUGCUUUUAUAAGGGAAUAAACCCCCCGAUUCUUCGGGGGCUGAAUGUACCUUACGAAUAAGGACCGGCUAACUCCGUGCCAGCAGCCGCGGUAAUACGGAGGGUCCAAGCGUUAUCCGGAUUUAUUGGGUUUAAAGGGUCCGUAGGUGGGAUCAUAAGUCAGCGGUGAAAUCUUUCGGCUUAACCGGAAAAUUGCCGUUGAUACUGUGGUUCUUGAGUAUGCUCGAUGUAGGCGGAAUAUGUCAUGUAGCGGUGAAAUGCAUAGAUAUGACAUAGAACACCGAUAGCGAAGGCAGCUUACAAGCGCAUAACUGACACUGAGGGACGAAAGCGUGGGGAGCGAACAGGAUUAGAUACCCUGGUAGUCCACGCCGUAAACGAUGAUCACUAGACAUUGGCGACAUACUGUUCGGUGUCCAAGCGAAAGCAUUAAGUGAUCCACCUGGGGAGUACGCUCGC
rnacentral:rRNA from 1 species